UACGGGGGGGGCAAGCGUUGUUCGGAAUUACUGGGCGUAAAGGGCUCGUAGGCGGCCAACUAAGUCGGAUGUGAAAUCCCUCAGCUUAACCGAGGAACUGCCUUCCAAACUGUUUGGCUUGAGUCCGGGAGAGGUGAGUGGAAUUCCGAGUGUAGAGGUGAAAUUCGUAGAUAUUCGGAGGAACACCAGUGGCGAAGGCGGCUCGCUGGCUCGAUACUGACGCUGAGGUGCGAAAGCGUGGGGAGCAAACAGG
rnacentral:rRNA from 1 species